ensembl:lncRNA
UUUGGUUUCACUUUAGUACAUGCUGUACAGACUGCUGCCACAUCGGCUGGCUAGGUCGCUCUGAACUUGGCCUGGUGCUUGGUUUCGGAUCUUCUGCAUCUGGUUCUAUCACUUACUGGAUAUAGGCUGUAUGAUGAUGGAGGAUUCACCAACCUGAUUACACAUAAGGCCAGUUCAGGCACCCUCUCCACUAUUGCCUCCUUGCCGAAGCCCCAGCCACAGCUGUCUCUGCUCCUACAGUCUCUGCCUCCAAGAUUAUGGCUGUGCCUCCCACAUAUGUUGACCUUGGCAAGGCUGCUAGUGAUAUCUUCACUAAGGUCUUAAUAAUUCUUGAAAAGAAGUCAGAGAAUGAAUUGGAAUUCACCAGCUCUGGCUCAACCAACACAGAGACCAUAAAAGUAAACGACAGCCUGGAAACCAAGUACUGAUGGAUAGAGUGCCUUUCCAGAGAAGGGGCACACAGACAACACCCUGUGCACCGAAAUCACCAUUAAAGCCCAGCUGACGGGUGGACUGAAGCUGACAUUUGAUUCAUCUUUCUGCCUAACACUGGGAGGAAAUGCUGAAAUCAAGACCUGCUAAAGAAAGGGUGUAUCAACCUGAUAUAUGAUGUCAACUUUGACAUUGCUGGGCCCUCGAUCAGUGCUACUCUGGUGCUUGGAUAUGAGGCCUAGCUGGAUGGCUACCAGAAGAAUUUUGAGAUCUCGAAGUCCCAAGUGACCUAAAGCAACUUUGCAGUUGGCUAUAAGAGAGUUGAAUUUAAGCUAGUGUGAAUGAUGGGGCGGAGUUUGGUGGCUCCAUUUAUCAGAAGGUGAACAAGGAGUUGGAGGCUGCUGUCAAUCUUGCCUGGACAGCAGGAACCAAUAAUACUCUCUUUGGAAUAACAACCAAGUGUCAGGUUGACCCUGAUUCCUCUUUUUGGCAAAGGAAACAACUCUACCCUGAUUGACUUAGGGUCUACUCAAAUCCUAAAGCAAGGUGUCAGACUAAACCUGUCACCUCUGCUGGAUGGCAGGAUGUGGGUGGCCAUAAGUUUGGUCUACAACUGAAAUCCCAAGCAAAAAUGAAUAUUGUGCAAUCGUUAAUUUUAAAUUAUUUUGUGGCAUAGCUGCCUUCAGAAUUUAAUGUCCCUUUUAAUGUUGUAUGUUGGGCAUGUUAAAAUUGAUAAAUUUCACGUUAGAUGUACAAGCUAAUGAUGACUCUUCUUAACAUUUCACAGAUAGAGUAGAAACUCCAUUCCAGAAAUGGUCAUGUUAGCUGUAGACUUGGGUUGGGGAGGAACACCUCUAAGGAGGCCAGACCGAAAGUGGAAGCUGGGAAUAUGCAAGCUCUUUAUAAAUCCAUCCACAGGUGGCUUCCUGUGCCUCUAACCUUGGUGUCAUAAUCCUAAUUGCUGAGAAGCAUAUGCACACCUAUUAGAAAGAAACUGAUUUUAUACAGAUUUCCAUGCCCUAUUUCCAUUCUAGACCACCACUUACCUGUUUUACACCAAAAGUAGUCUUCAGUUCUUUCUUUUUUCUUUCUUUUGAUGCAAACAGCAAGAAGCUUUAUUGCAGUUGUUUAAUGAGCUAACCCCAUUAGCUCGGGCCUUUCAUCCAUUCACCAUGGCCGAUGACUGGAAAAAGACCCCAAAAAAACACAGGACAAAGAUCUUAUAGGGUAGGGUAAGGGGAGUGUCUAGGGGUACACACAGGCUCAGGAUUGGUGUGCCUCCAGGCUUGGAGAACUUGCCUUGUGUUGAUUGGUCAACUGGUU